rnacentral:rRNA from 1 species
CAGCAGCCACGGUAAAACGAAGGGUGCAAGCGUUACUCGGAAUUACUGGGCGUAAAGCGUGCGUAGGUGGUGGUUUAAGUCCGUUGUGAAAGCCCUGGGCUCAACCUGGGAAUUGCAGUGGAUACUGGGUCACUAGAGUGUGGUAGAGGAUAGUGGAAUUUCCGGUGUAGCAGUGAAAUGCGUAGAGAUCGGAAGGAACAUCUGUGGCGAAGGCGACUAUCUGGGCCAACACUGACACUGAGGCACGAAAGCGUGGGGAGCAAACAGGAUUAGAUACCCGAGUAGUCCCUGUCUCUUAUAC